UACGGAGGGUGCAAGCGUUAUCCGGAUUUACUGGGUUUAAAGGGUGCGUAGGUGGGCAGGUAAGUCAGUGGUGAAAUCUCCGGGCUUAACCCGGAAACUGCCGUUGAUACUAUCUGUCUUGAAUUUCCUGGAGGUAAGCGGAAUAUGUCAUGUAGCGGUGAAAUGCUUAGAUAUGACAUAGAACACCAAUUGCGAAGGCAGCUUACUACGGGAAUAUUGACACUGAGGCACGAAAGCGUGGGGAUCAAACAGG
rnacentral:rRNA from 1 species